UGUAAAUAAAGCGUCAUUUCAGGCAAUCUGUUGGGUAACUCCCUCCAAGGUGAUGGUUGUGCGCAGUUUUGAAGUCGUUGCCGCGUACAUUCUUCAGGUGACAGUUUUUGACACGCCCACCUACCUGUCUGAUGUGGGUGGGACACUGCUCAUCAUAGCUGCUGUGCUUGGAAUGGGUUUAGAGGAUUUAGUGAUGCAAAGAUUUAACUGGAGGUUCAUGUGAACUCUUAACAUCUAAAAAUGACAAUUAAAUAUAAAGUUAAAAUGUUCGCCAUCUAUUA